CAGCCGCCGCGGUAAAACGUAGGUGGCAAGCGUUGUCCGGAAUUAUUGGGCGUAAAGGGCUCGCAGGCGGUUCCUUAAGUCUGAUGUGAAAGCCCCCGGCUCAACCGGGGAGGGCCAUUGGAAACUGGAAACUUGAGUGCAGAAGAGGAGAGUGGAAUUCCACGUGUAGCGGUGAAAUGCGUAGAGAUGUGGAGGAACACCAGCGGCGAAGGCGACUCUCUGGUCUGUAACUGACGCUGAGGAGCGAAAGCGUGGGGAGCGAACAGGAUUAGAUACCCGCGUAGUCCCUGUCUCUUAUACA
rnacentral:rRNA from 1 species